UGGCUUCACGUGGUCCCAUGCUACCCCUCCCUGCAACAGCCCAGAUGCUUCACCAGUGAAAGAAAAAUGGCUUCAGCAGCUCCAAACCUACCAUCCUCACAUCACACCAUCCAGGAAGUAGACCAGCCUAGGCAACAUAAUGAGACCCCAUCUCUAAAAAUAAAUAAAUAAAUAAUAAAAAUAGCCAUGUGAUCUUGGGGUAAAUCCCCUUAACUUCUCUAAGCAUAGCUUUGUCCUCUGUGUAAGGAGGGGGUUAUGUUUUACAUAGCCCUUGCAACAUGGGCUGUACUUAGUUUUUGUAUAACAUCCAAACAGAAUUAAUACAGGUAUUCUCUUUUUUUAAUUUUGUAACCAGCAGCUUCUAAACCAGAAUAGGCUCUGAGAGGCUCCUUGUAUUUUAAGUGUUCAGAAUUAUUAAUACAUCUUUAAAUCAGUGAAACUAAAUAUUUUAACUUCAAAAAUUAAUGAACCCAUUAUAAAACAUUAUGUAAAAUAUACAUUCAUAGAACUAUAAAUAUUAAACAUAAUAUCAUAUCAGAACAAAUCAUUAAAGGACAAAAUUUUAAAAA
rnacentral:lncRNA from 10 species